rnacentral:rRNA from 1 species
AUUGAACGCUGGCGGCAGGCCUAACACAUGCAAGUCGAGCGGAUGAAGGGAGCUUGCUCCUGGAUUCAGCGGCGGAGGGGUGAGUAAUGCCUAGGAAUCUGCCUGGUAGUGGGGGAUAACGUCCGGAAACGGGCGCUAAUACCGCAUACGUCCUGAGGGAGAAAGUGGGGGAUCUUCGGACCUCACGCUAUCAGAUGAGCCUAGGUCGGAUUAGCUAGUUGGUGGGGUAAAGGCCUACCAAGGCGACGAUCCGUAACUGGUCUGAGAGGAUGAUCAGUCACACUGGAACUGAGACACGGUCCAGACUCCUACGGGAGGCAGCAGUGGGGAAUAUUGGACAAUGGGCGAAAGCCUGAUCCAGCCAUGCCGCGUGUGUGAAGAAGGUCUUCGGAUUGUAAAGCACUUUAAGUUGGGAGGAAGGGCAGUAAGUUAAUACCUUGCUGUUUUGACGUUACCAACAGAAUAAGCACCGGCUAACUUCGUG